AACGAACGCUGGCGGCAUGCCUAACACAUGCAAGUCGAACGAGACCUUCGGGUCUAGUGGCGCGCGGGUGCGUAACGCGUGGGAACCUGCCCUUAGGUUCGGAAUAACUCCCCGAAAGGGGUGCUAAUACCGGAUAAUGUCUUCGGACCAAAGAUUUAUCGCCUUUGGAUGGGCCCGCGUUGGAUUAGCUAGUUGGUAGGGUAAAAGCCUACCAAGGCGACGAUCCAUAGCUGGUCUGAGAGGAUGAUCAGCCACACUGGGACUGAGACACGGCCCAGACUCCUACGGGAGGCAGCAGUGGGGAAUAUUGGACAAUGGGCGAAAGCCUGAUCCAGCAAUGCCGCGUGAGUGAUGAAGGCCUUAGGGUUGUAAAGCUCUUUUACCCGGGAUGAUAAUGACAGUUCCGGGAGAAUAAGCUCCGGCUAACUCCGUG
rnacentral:rRNA from 1 species